AUGGCCGCAGUGUCACCGCUGCUCCCCACAGCUGCGCACAAGUCGCUGGGCUGUCCGGGUGAAGUUGUGCUGAAAGCAGAAGUACCCACAGCUCUUUCCUCACCACCUGCACCCACAGCCCCUGCAUCCCACAGCCACGGGCACUGGGGCAGUGGGGCCGCACGCCUCCUCCAGACAGAACCAUCGCCGUUCCCUCAGCCGCUCCUCAUCAGAAUUGUGCUCCAGACCCUUGGUGGCCAACAUGCCCAUCCCUGCUUCCCAAAUGCAGUCGGCCUGUGCGCAUCUGUAGUCGGUCAGAUAGAAUGUCUGAAUGUGCAAGAGCCUGGUUUGAAUACAAAGUUAUACUUCGGCAAUCCCAAGACAAGUGGCAAAACAUCUGGGGAAAAAAAAAGGCAGUUUCACACAGCACGUGUGUGUGAAGUACUCCUGCAGUAAGGACAGCCUGUAGGUAAAUCACAAAGAUGUGCGUCCAUUCUGCUCUCACAGCCAGUUCUGCCCUCUGGGUUUGUUGCAGCAUUUCCCAGCUGAGUGCAGACAUCUCCAAAGCGACAUCUUACGCGCCUGCUGGUUUCUCAGAGAUGACGGUAUCCUUCAGGAUUUGAGGCUCACCGGGUGACUGCUUUGUCGGCUUGGAAUAUCACAGGAGAAUUUCAAAGCGACAGGAGCACAGUGUAUGCAAAUCAAAAGUUGUAGUUGUGUGCCGAGGGUUUCCUCCAGUUUGUUUAGUGGAGAACUGAGCACGUGCCUCCGGCCCGGAGCGGUUUUUUUCCUGCCGGAGGACUGCUUUAAAGGCUGUAAUUUCUGGCUGUUUUCGGGUAGAUAACAAAUUCCAACAAAGCGUCUUUUCUUCAAGACAAGAUUUCUUCUCAUUCAGACGACUUCCCUCCGGGGCGGCGCAGCUCCUUGAACCGCCCUGCCUGGAGCCGGCAGAGCGCAGGGCGAAGCUCAGCCCCAGGUGCGUCCCGGCCCGGGAAGGCAGCAUUCCCUGCAGGCGGCACCGCGACGAGAACGCGUGCCGCGGCUCUGGGGGCGAAUCGCGCCGCUUCCUGAGCGUCACCGGAUCUGCUGCUGCCACGGAGCGGGGCUCUCAUCUGUUUUCAUCUGAUCUGUCGCCUUGCCUUCGUGCGCAUCCUUCUGUCCUGGCCGGGUGAACUCGGCGCGGCGUUGAGCGGCUCCGGCUUUGGCGCACAGAGGACGCGCAGCGCUUCUCCCCCUGCAGCUGAGCGCUUGGCGCGGCUCGGGCGGCAGAACGUCCCGCGUCGCUUCCCG
rnacentral:lncRNA from 1 species